AUUUUUACACAAUUGUAUAUUUUUAAACCAUUCCUUUCCUAAACUUUUCAUUUGUAUUUUUGGAUAUUUCAGGUUGAAAACUACAAGAUUUUAUAUUUUUAAAUCACUAAUUUUUGGUCUCCCAAAACAAACUUUUACCCUCUUUUCUAUCACUUGUAGAAUUUUCUGAAUUCAAUUUAAUAUAUUUGAUGCUACUUUUGGCAAAUAGUACCACCACUUGGCAUUGUUAGAGUUCAGACUAGUUGACAUUCAAUUCACGCGAACGUGAAACAAAGUAGCAUUGAAUAUCCCAUCAACUAUUGUAAUCCGAAGGUCAGGAAUAACGCGUUAAGAAUAACUAUUUGUCCGUGGAAUUAAUGUGCAUACUAAUGAUUUAUGUAGGUGUUAUUGUUCAACCUGCAAAUUCCUAAUAUCACAAUGGUUCUAGUACAUAACCUCGUUAAGUUACAUCAGUCGGUAAUAACACACUUGAACUUGACAAUUAAUAUUAACCUUGUGCCUGCUAAUAGCACAAUAUAUUCUUCCUACAACUUACUUUUUGUAUUAUAGUUUAGAAAAUUCAUAUCCACUGUUAUUUAUUGAUUAAUCGUUUUUUAGAUGAGCAAACUUGAGGUGAUUGCUCUCUGAUAGCCUGCAGCUGUUUUUUGUACCAUAGGAUUUAAAACUGAAUGGAUGUUGAGGAAUGCUCGAAGACCAGCCAAUUAUCCAAUUAAUGACUGACCCACUGAUUAGCUAGAAUUCAGACUAUAAUCAAUUUUGCAUAAGUUGCAAAUAUUUCUAAAGAACCUCUUUAUGGGUUCAAAGUGACCAUAAACAAUCUUGGUCUUGAUUAGCCAGAAUUCAGACUAUAAUCAAUUUUGGAUAAGAUGCAAAUGUUUUUGAAGAACCCCUUUAUGGUCUUGGUCUUGAUUAGCCAGAAUUCAGACUAUAAUCAAUUUUGGAUAAGAUGCAAAUAUUUCUGAAGAAUCUCUUUAUGGAUUUGGUCUUGAUUAGCCAGAAUUCAGAGUAUAAUCAAUUUUGCAAAUAUUGCAAAUAUUGCAAAUAUUGCAAAUAUUUCUGAAGAAUCCCUUUAUGGGUUCAAAGUGACCAUAAACAAUCUUGGUCUUGAUUAGCCAGAAUUCAGACUAUAAUCAAUUUUGGAUAAGAUGCAAAUAUUUUUGAAGAAUCUCUUUAUGGUCUUGGUCUUGAUUAGCCAGAAUUCAGACUAUAAUCAAUUUUGGAUAAGAUGCAAAUAUUUUUGAAGAAUCUAUGGUCUUGGUCUUGAUUAGCCAGAAUUCAGACUAUAAUCAAUUUUGCAUAAGUUGUAAAUAUUUCUGAAGAAUCUCUUUAUGGUCUUGGUCUUGAUUAGCCAGAAUUCAGACUAUAAUCAAUUUUGGAUAAGAUGCAAAUAUUUUUGAAGAAUCUCUUUAUGGUCUUGGUCUUGAUUAGCCAGAAUUCAGAGUAUAAUCAAUUUUGCAUAAAUUGCAAAUAUUUCUGAAGAAUCCCUUUAUGGGUUCAAAGUGACCAUAGAUGAUCUUGUUCUUGAUUAGCCAGAAUUCAUACUAUAAUUAAUUUUGCAUAAAUUGCAAAUAUUUCUAAAGAAUUCCUUUAUGGAUUCAAAGUGACCAUAGAUGAUCUUGGUUUAGAUUAGCCAGAAUUCAUACUAUAAUCAAUUUUGUAUAAAUUGCAAAUAUUUCUGAAGAAUCCCUUUAUGGGUACAAAGUGACCAUAAACGAUCUUGGUCUCCAGCUGUGUGUUGGUGCCCGAUGGAACGUGACGAGACACCGAAUUAACCACAUAACAAGAACCUCGAAUUCCAUGUUUAACUCGACGAAUUCACGCAACGUAGCAUCGGUUUCCUCGCUGGAUUACAUAAGACCACAAGUCUUCGUGGUACUGUUACCAAACGAGGCGCCAUUGAUUCGAAGAAAGGUGUAAGAUAUAAGAAACGAUCAAGGAAGAAGUACAUUUACCAUAAAAAUUAGAAAUUGCUAAUUGGAAGUAGGAAAUAAUAUUACUUAGCAGGGGUUCAGAUCCAGAAAUUACCAUCGCAAUCAAAGUGUUGCUUCAGACGUAAUUGGAAUCGAAGAGCAUACGUUCAUACUUAUAUAACGCGAAGGACAAUCAUUUGAUAAUCCACCAACUCUUUUUGUGACAAACAAAAUGACUUGCACGUGUCAAGCAUAGUCAUACGCUAAUGAAGGAUAAUCUACAUGCAAAAUACUGUAAAAGUUCUUCUAGCUUUCAAGAAAGGAUGUUUCAAAACUUCAACCCUUUGGAAGACUCCUAAGAUCCUCAAGACCGAAGAUUUCCAAGAUUCUAUUAACCCUUUAACUGCGGGUGUGGUUUAUAAGCCACAUACUAAAAUUAUAGCCAGAGUGGUAUAUAAACAACAUGUUAAUUUCUGCUGAUAUCAAAUAGCAGCUGUGGCUUAUGUACCACUAAAAUAAAAAUAAAAUAAAUAGAAUAAAAAAAUCUUUUAACCCUCUAUUGCAUUUUGUUCCCAAUUGGGAACUUAAGUUUCAAAUGUUCUAUAGUAAAUUAAGUAUACAAUACUGAAGACUCUGAGCAUGUUGGUUCCAAGUGGGAACAGUGCACAAUUUUCUAAUAAAA